rnacentral:misc_RNA from 1 species
GGUCUGCUUCUUGUGGGUGUACUUGACCUCGGCCUUCUUGGUGAUCUUCUCGCGGAACGCCACCUGCGGCGCGCCGAUGUUGGCGUCGACCUUGUAGGUANGGCGGAGAAUGUCGACCUUGAUGUCGAGAUGGAGUUCGCCCAUGCCCUUGAGAAUGGUCUGGCCGGACUCGUGAUCGGUCGACACCCGGAACGACGGAUCUUCCGCCGCGAGUUUCGCCAGNAACGCCCAGCUUUUCCUGAUCGGCCUUCGACUUCGGCUCGAUCGCGAUUUCGAUCACCGGC